GCCGGGGCGGUUGGGGCGGCCGCGGGGCCGCUACCUUUGGCGAGCGCCACGGUGGAGUUGUCCGUGUCGAUGGUGUAGAGGAUGCCCUCGUAGCGGAUCUGCGCCUUGGAGAUGAGGCUGAUCUUGCUGCCCAGAGGUUAUAGCUAUGCUGUCCAUCUCGUCAGUGCUGGUGAGGAGCCUGGAAGUCCGUGCCCGUGGGGGCCUUGGCAGGGGCCAGGAGCCCACCGCCUGGGCCCACCCAAUGGGAAGCUGGCUGUGCCGAGGACCACCCACUGCAAACAUGAGCCGCUUACCUAAGCACCUGCUGUGUGUAUGGAGAAGAGUGAAGCGGGCCCUCAUGAGGACAGGUGUGAAUAUGUGGACGUGGGACGCCUCCCGGGUCCCAUCACAGGCUGGCAGCGUCACACGGCCAGCGUCCUGCAAGAGGAGGGCACGUUGCCACAGCAUAUCACUGUGACUCUGAUGUCCCCCUGAGGAAGUAUGGGCCACGUGACCGUGGGUAUGCUAGGUAUCACUGCUUGCUAGGAGCAAAACGUAACAGGUGAGUUGAUUCAAAGACACGUCAGUGAUGGGUGAUCUACACAGCAAGUCAAGUCAGUGGCCUGAAGCGUGGGAGCAUGCCAGCGGGGCAGGACCUCACCCGUCUCCUGAGGCUGGCACAAGGGAGGCGGGUGCUCGCCUCUGGGGAAGCCCUGGCCCAGCUGCAGGUAGCGCCGCCCGGAGGCAGCCGAGAGUACAGGCGGGCUAGGCGCCGAGAUCAGGGCCGGCUUUGAAGGUGCCACCUACUAGGCCUUCCCAGCAGGGAAAGGGGCUGGAGGCCCGGGGUGUUGGGGGUGUUCGGUGGCCCGAGGAGCCGGGAGGGAAAAGACUGGAAGGGGAUCUUGUUGUUCUUCCGGAGCCAAGAAUUCUGAGGUCUGACCUGUUCUCUGUGAAUCCUGUUGAAAUCCAUUUUCUCCUGCCCAGGGCCCUACAGGGCUGUUUUCCUUAGAGACACGAGGAGCACCAGUAGGUGAGGGCCUGAGGUUCAUGCAUCUUGUUCCCCUCUCCCCUCCCCUCCCCCUGCCCUCUCCCCUCCCCUCCCUCUCCACCCUUUCCCAGUUAAGCACUCUGGUGUGAGGGAGCUAGGGAGUGAGAAGUCCAAGAAAAACAUUAGGGCCCCGACCCCAGCAAGCCACAGCCACCUUUCCCGGCUUCCCGCUGGGCAGAGGGCUGAACAGAGUUGGCUCCCCGAGGGGAGCUGCCCCUCAGAAGCUCAGAGGGAACCGCUUCGAGAUUCUGGAAAUGGGAGAGGGCACCAGAGGAGGCCCGAGGGGCUUCUCUCCUGAUGGCGGUCAACUCCGCUGCUGCUCCCCAAAGCUUGAAGAGUGGGGACAGUGUGGGGGGACGUGUUCCUGGGCCUCACUGCUGGAACCCGGCCCGGGGCCUCCUGGCUGUGGGCUCUCCCAGCGUCCGAGACGUCUAGACCCCACCUCAGAGAGACGAGCACUGAAUGCGCAGGAGCUGCUCACGCGGGACCAGCGCCCAGAAGAACCCAGUCAUGCCCCGUCCCGGAUCCCUGCCUGCGGGGCCCUGGCGGUGAGGGGGACGGCCUGGGUGGGGUACGGGCGGCCUCAGGACCGCCGCCGGAGCCAUCCUCAGCCACAGGGCCCUGCCACCUCUUCCCUCCGCCUGGGGCCCCUCUCGGCCUUUCCAGGGAAGAAGAGACAUCCAGGCCGAGGGGGGCCCGGAGGGACAGCCUCCCGGCAGGUGAGGGGGUGGUUGGGGGUGGCCUGCUGAGGACAGAGCCGGACAGCAAAGUGGCAGAUGGCCUGGGGGUGGCUCCUGGUUCCCCCUUCCCUGCUAGUUGGUGGGGGCCCCUGAUGGUGCCACCCUGCCCCCCCACCAGCCUGAGAGCCCUUGCACAGCCGGCCUGGCUCGAGGGGAGCGUGCCAUUGUUGUCUGUCGGGCUCAGCUUACAGGGGCCGUGAGAGGGGCCAGCACAGCGAGUCGGUCCGGGCUGCCUGCCGGCCACCUGGACCUUGUCCCCUGACAGUUCCCGAGGGAAGAGGGAAAGGACGACCAAGUGACCAAGGCCACAGCUGAGGGUGCCGUCCCCUUGCACGUGGCCGUUCCUCCAGGGCUGCCCCAGCCUCUCUUCCUGGAGGAAGGUCUCAUAGAGGAGACAGGCAUUCAAGUGACAUUUCUUGAUGUUUCCAGAAGACUUCCCCCGCCCUCCCCACCUCUGGCCAGUGUUUCUACUGAGUAGUUGGAGGAGAUGAGGGGAUUCUGCAGAAUUGGCCUGGCUUCCCGAGACUUCUGGCCGAGUGUCUGGACCCUGCUGCUUAACUUUAGUUGUCUACCCUCACCCCACCCAGCCACACUGCUCGUAUUAGCACCUAGUGCCUCUCAUGAAGACCAGCAAACCUCCGGGAUCACCAGCCCCUUGAGAAAGCGGGCCAGGUCCCCUGUGAAGAGCCCCGGAUCUGACUGACCCUGGAUCUGGCAGCCAUCACACGUGGGCCCAGGUGACAGCAGCACGGCCUUCGAAGUUCUGAAGAAGCUGCGUUUGGAAUCCCAGAAGCUCUACGCAGCGAAUCUUGAAAGAGGGCUGCAUAAGGCCACCUGCAGGUGACAAGGGGCCCCACGCACCUGUCCCAGGAAGCUGCCGGAGGAUGCACGAAGAGUGGGCAGGGGGCCCGUGGAGGGGUGCACGGAAGCCAAGCAGGGCUCGCUGACACCGGGAGAGCUGGGGCAUGGGGUCCCCUUCCAGCACAGGGACAUGCACCCCCGGGUGGCCAGUGGAGGAAAUGGGUGGAGGGCCCUGGAAAGGGGCAGAGCCCCCACACUCUUGUGUCAACUCCAUAAGUAGAUGUUAGGAAAUUGCCACAGGCAGGCCGCAGAUGGGGGUCCUGCCGGGGUGGGAAGGAGGGGGAGGUGGGCUAUGCUUCCUUAAGACCGACUUUGCUCCGAUGCUAAGUCCGUCCUAAGAGAACUGGGAAGACGGCCUUCUGCCCGCGCCCUGCCCCCAUCCGGGAGAGCGGUCGGUGCGUCUGAGGGGAGGCAGUGCUGACGGGACACGCGGGGAUGGGUGGGCUGUGCUGUCCAGACAUGGCCAGGUGGUGAGAAUGGGCCCUCCCGAGGCUGUCACAACCGGUGGCCCUGGACCCUCGGGUCACCACACCAUCGAUUCUUUCAUUAACUGCUUGAUUGAUUAAUCCCCUGGUCACUGAUGCAUUUGUGCCACCGACGUCCGCUGGGGGCCUUCCACACGUGAGACCCUUGCUGGGUGCCAGGAUGGAGCCAGGAUCGACACCGGACAGCCACAGGCUGGCCGGAAGGUGGCCUUGGGGGCGGAAGCUGGGAAGCGGGCCAGUGUCCCCAGCAGGGUGUCAGGUCGGUGAGGAAGCCCAGAGAGGCCUUGUGGCAACCGUGCUUUUUGCUCAGGCUCCGAGAGAUGCCCAUUGCUUCCCCUCCCCCGGGUGGCACGGGCGGGGACGCAUGCCAUGCCACCGCUGCCGGCGGGCCUGGGCCUAGCAGUGUCCUUGUUGCUGGGACGUUCUCACCCUCCUGACAGGAGGGCGGAUUGAGGGCCCUGCAGUCUGCCGGUCGGCCUGGGGGGCCCUGACUCCACACGCCGCUGGGACUGUGUGCCCCGAGGCACCUCGUCCUUGGCCGUGCCGCCCAGGACAUUUGCACAGCCGUCCCGCACAGGCUCUGUGUCUCUUUUCACGUGUCCCUCCCGCUCUGUGGAUCAGGCCAGGCUGGCUCCUCCCCACGCCCUGGUCCUUGCACACAGAGUAAAGGGCACAGAGGUGACAAACUUGAGCCCCAGGCCAGCCCGAGGCCAUGCAGCAGGAGGGGACAGAGGAGGGACCAAAGCCAUUCUGGGUGACCAUUACCUGCCUGGCCCUGUGUCUACACCACUAGCCAGUGGGACAGUGAGGAGACCAGCCCAGCACAGGUAAUACCUAGUGCCCAGCUGCCCUGCCUUUGCAGGAGAACCCCUUGCUGGGCCCUCACCUUGCCAUGCCUGAGUAGGCCUGCUCCCACGACACUGCCUCCUGGAAGCCCUCCUGGCUCCCUUCCAAAGCAACACUUCUGUAUCACCCUGCUGACUAUCCCUGUGCUACUCUGGCUCUGACUCCCUGACUCACGGCCUUUCUGAUUUCCUGUCACCCUCCCGUGCCGGCACGUGUCCCCGGAGCCCAGCACAGGCCUGGCGCACGGUGGCGUCCGUGAGGCGUUGGCCAAGAAAUCAAAGAACACGCUUCCCUCCCCACAUCGUGGAAGGAGAUGCCUGCGUGUGGAGUCCCUGCCCUGUGGAAGUCUGUCCCUGGAGCCAUUUCUCUCCUCCCCCCACAUCUGCCUGGGAGGCCCCUGGUGGCCCCUGCCACAGGCCCCCAGGGCACGGGCUGCGCGCCUGUGUGCCAACGUCCACAGCUAGCCGCGUUCCCGGGAGAAACGUGCGUUUCUGUCCCCGCUGUCCGGCAGGGAAUGUUCGCGGCAGCUUUCUUCACUGUGGCCCUGCCACCUGAAGGGCGGGUACACAGGUGGCGGGUAUCCAGCCGAUGGAGAACCGUCUGGGAGAGCUUGCCUGCGCACGCGGGCCUCACCUGCCCGGGGAAGGGUUCCCAACACAAAAGAGAAGUCUGGGGCUCCGUGAGCCUGACCCAGCGUCGCCCCACGACCCUGGCGCUCCUCUCUGAGGGGGGUGCCCAAGACAGGCGACAACCUGUGUCCGCCCACGAAUGCGCACAGCGGCACCGUUCCAGAGAUCGAACAACCCAACAUCCGCCAACCAACGGACGGGUCCACCAAACGCGGUCUCUCCACCGGCGGAGUGUCACUCGGUCUCAAUAAGGAGCGAGGCAUGGACACUGCCGCGUGGACGAGCCUUAAAAACACAGUGCAGAGUGAGAGAGGCCGGGCCCGGGAGGACACACGUCGUAUGAUCCCAUUUGCAGGAAAAUCCACAGGGACAGAAAGCGGCCUCAUGGUUGCCAGAGACUGGGGAGACAGUGGGGUAAGGACUGACUGUUUCCAAGUCUCCUUUGGAAUGAUGGAAUGUUCCGGACUGAGAGGGGACAGCUGCACAACAGUGCCAAUGUACUCAAUGCCACUAAGUCGUAUACUUUGACGUGGUUACGGUGGUGGAUUUUAUGUGGUGUGCGUUGUAUCACAAUACAAAUCAACCCCUCACAAAAAUAAAACAUUGGGAGUGGAAGAGCGUGAACUCUGCCUCGUUCCACUGACCAAGUUUCUGCAUGA